CAACUGCCCUGGGAGGGAAAAUCCUUUUUCUUGCUGCUGCCAGCAAGGAAAAGAUUUGGAAAGACAGCAGGAAUAGCU
rnacentral:misc_RNA from 1 species